rnacentral:rRNA from 1 species
GGCUGUCGUCAGCUCGUGUCGUGAGAUGUUGGGUUAAGUCCCGCAACGAGCGCAACCCUUGUCAUUAAUUGCCAUCAUUCAGUUGGGCACUUUAAUGAAACUGCCGGUGACAAACCGGAGGAAGGUGGGGAUGACGUCAAGUCCUCAUGGCCCUUAUGGGUAGGGCUUCACACGUAAUACAAUGGCGCGUACAGAGGGUUGCCAACCCGCGAGGGGGAGCUAAUCUCAGAAAGCGCGUCGUAGUCCGGAUCGGAGUCUGCAACUCGACUCCGUGAAGUCGGAAUCGCUAGUAAUCGCGGAUCAGCAUGUCGCGGUGAAUACGU